rnacentral:rRNA from 1 species
AUGUUGAAGUGGUAUGCUAGGCAAUUAUGCUUGAGAUAUGAUUAUACUUGUUGCUCUAGGAUGAAUUCUCCACACCUUCCCUUUUUAUGCAAAUUUAAUGAUAAUGAAACCUUGGCUUCUUAUGCUAGAGGUAUAUAUGAUUACUAUGAUGUGGAACAAAUAGAAGAAUUUGUUGCUUUUAUGGGUGCUUAUGAAAUUGAAUCUGUAUUUAAAGAGUGUGAAAAUCUUUAUGAUGUUGUUUAUAGACCUGAAAAUUUAGCUAUCCUUGAAUAUUGCUAUGAGAAUUAUGAAUACAAUGCCGAUAUUGAUGCAUUUAUUGAGAAAGUCUCCGCUGUCCAAGAAGAGACUAAUAUUUUGCAGGAGUCUAUGGAAGAAGAAAUUACUGAAACUAUGAGCUCAUUAGAUGAAAAAGAUGAGGAGGAGAUUGAAGAACAAAAGGAGGAAGAGCGGAUUGAUCACCCGUGCCCACCUUCUAAUGAGAGUAACUCUUCAACUCAUACCUUGGCUUACCGAAGGAUGAUUGCUAUGAUGACUGUUAUGAUCCCGUUGAUUCUCUUGAAAUAUCCCUUUUUGAUGAUGCUUGCUAUGCUUGUGGCCAAGAUGCCAAUAUGA